rnacentral:rRNA from 1 species
AAUGAACGCUGGCGGCAUGCCUAACACAUGCAAGUCGAACGAAGGCUUCGGCCUUAGUGGCGCACGGGUGCGUAACGCGUGGGAAUCUGCCCUUGGGUUCGGAAUAACAGGUAGAAAUGACUGCUAAUACCGGAUGAUGUCGUAAGACCAAAGAUUUAUCGCCCAAGGAUGAGCCCGCGUAGGAUUAGCUAGUUGGUGGGGUAAAGGCCUACCAAGGCGACGAUCCUUAGCUGGUCUGAGAGGAUGAUCAGCCACACUGGGACUGAGACACGGCCCAGACUCCUACGGGAGGCAGCAGUGGGGAAUAUUGGACAAUGGGCGAAAGCCUGAUCCAGCAAUGCCGCGUGAGUGAUGAAGGCCUUAGGGUUGUAAAGCUCUUUUACCCGGGAUGAUAAUGACAGUACCGGGAGAAUAAGCUCCGGCUAACUUCGUG